rnacentral:rRNA from 1 species
GCCCAUGACCAUAUCACUCUGAAUGCACCUGAUGUCGUCUGAUCUCAGAAACUAAGCAGGUUUUAGCCUGUUAGUGCUUGGAUGCGAGACUGCCUGAGAAUACCAGGUGUUGUAGGCU